rnacentral:rRNA from 1 species
CGCGUAGGUGGUUUGUUAAGUUGGAUGUGAAAUCCCCGGGCUCAACCUGGGAACUGCGGUGGAAACUGGACGACUAGAGUGUGGUAGAGGGUAGCGGAAUUCCUGGUGUAGCAGUGAAAUGCGUAGAGAUCAGGAGGAACAUCCAUGGCGAAGGCAGCUACCUGGACCAACAUUGACACUGAGGCACGAAAGCGUGGGGAGCAAACA